GAUGAACGCUGGCGGCGUGCCUAAUACAUGCAAGUCGAACGAAACUUCUUUAUCACCGAGUGCUUGCACUUACCGAUAAAGAGUUGAGUGGCGAACGGGUGAGUAACACGUGGGCAACCUGCCCAAAAGAGGGGGAAAACACUCGGAAACAGGUGCUAACAUCGCAUAACAAUAGUUACCGCAUGGUAACUAUGUAAAAGGAGUCUAUACUACCCCGUUUGAUUGGUCCGCGGCGUAUUAGCUAGUUGGGGGGGUAAAGGCUUACCAAGGCGAUGAUGCGUAGCUGGACUGAGAGGAUGAUCGGCCACAUUGGAACUGAGACACGGCCCAAACUCCUACGGGAGGCAGCAGUAGGGAAUAUUCGACAAUGGGCGAAAGCCUGAUGGAGCAACGCCGCGUGGGUGAAGAAGGCCUUCGGAUCGUAAAGCCCUGUUGUUAGGGAAGAAAGUGAGUAGGAGUAACUGUUCACGUUUCGACGGUAUCUAAACAGAAAGCCACUGCUAACUACGUG
rnacentral:rRNA from 1 species